AACGAACGCUGGCGGCAUGCCUAACACAUGCAAGUCGAACGAGACCUUCGGGUCUAGUGGCGCACGGGUGCGUAACGCGUGGGAACCUGCCCUUAGGUUCGGAAUAACUCCCCGAAAGGGGUGCUAAUACCGGAUAAUGUCUUCGGACCAAAGAUUUAUCGCCCUUGGAUGGGCCCGCGUUGGAUUAGCUAGUUGGUAGGGUAAAAGCCUACCAAGGCGACGAUCCAUAGCUGGUCUGAGAGGAUGAUCAGCCACACUGGGACUGAGACACGGCCCAGACUCCUACGGGAGGCAGCAGUGGGGAAUAGUGGAAAAUGGGCGAAAGCCUGAUCCAGCAAUGCCGCGUGAGUGAUGAAGGCCUUAGGGUUGUAAAGCUCUUUUAACCGGGAUGAUAAUGACAGUACCGGGAGAAUAAGCUCCGGCUAACUCCGUG
rnacentral:rRNA from 1 species